UACGAGGGGGGCAAGCGUUGUUCGGAAUUAUUGGGCGUAAAGGGUGCGUAGGCGGCCUGCUAAGUCGGAUGUGAAAUCCCUCGGCUCAACCGAGGAACUGCAUCCGAUACUGGCGGGCUUGAAUCCGGGAGAGGGAUGUGGAAUUCCAGGUGUAGCGGUGAAAUGCGUAGAUAUCUGGAGGAACACCGGUGGCGAAGGCGGCAUCCUGGACCGGUAUUGACGCUGAGGCGCGAAAGCUAGGGGAGCAAACAGG
rnacentral:rRNA from 1 species